rnacentral:rRNA from 1 species
CCUACGGGAGGCUGCAGUGAGGAAUAUUGGUCAAUGGCCGGAAGGCUGACCCAGCCAAGCCGCGUGAAGGACGAAGGUGCUCAGCAUUGUAAACUUCUUUUGUCAAGGGACAAAAUCAGGCUCGAGAGCCUGACAGAGGGUACUUGAAGAAUAACCAUCGGCGAACACCGUGCAAGCAGCCGCGGUAAUACGGAGGCUGCGAGCGUUAUCCGGAUUUGUGGGUGUUAAGGGGGGCGAAGGCGGACUGUUAAGUCAGCGGCAAAAGCCCGGGGCUCAACCCCGGCGAGCCGUUGAAACUGGCUGUCUUGAGAUGUCGAGAGGUAUGCGGAAUGCGCAGUGUAGCGGUGAAAUGCAUAGAUAUAACGCAGAACACCGGUGGCGAAGGCAGAAUACCGGCGCCCGACUGACGCUGAGGCGCGAAAGCGUGGGUAGCGAACAGGAUUAGAUACCCGGGUAGUC